GACUGGUCCGAAGUUAGUGAGUUAUCUCCAUUGAUUGUUCACAGUUACAGAUCGAACUCGUUUAACUCUUUACCCCCUUCUCACUACUGCACUUGACUAGUGUUAA
rnacentral:Y_RNA from 1 species